rnacentral:rRNA from 1 species
UGGGGAAUAUUGGACAAUGGGCGAAAGCCUGAUCCAGCCAUGCCGCGUGUGUGAAGAAGGCCUUUUGGUUGUAAAGCACUUUAAGCGAGGAGGAGGCUACUUAGAUUAAUACUCUAGGAUAGUGGACGUUACUCGCAGAAUAAGCACCGGCUAACUCUGUGCCAGCAGCCGCGGUAAUACAGAGGGUGCGAGCGUUAAUCGGAUUUACUGGGCGUAAAGCGUGCGUAGGCGGCUUGUUAAGUCGGAUGUGAAAUCCCUGAGCUUAACUUAGGAAUUGCAUUCGAUGCUGGGAAGCUAGAGUAUGGGAGAGGAUGGUAGAAGUCCAGGUGUAGCGGUGAAAUGCGUAGAGAUCUGGAGGAAUACCGAUGGCGAAGGCAGCCAUCUGGCCUAAUACUGACGCUGAGGUACGAAAGCAUGGGGAGCAAACAGG